UUAUAAACCCAAGCUCUACCCCUGAUCUGGGCUGCUCGAUCUGGGUGUGUACCCCUUGCAGCCUCGAGCUAAUAAAUCCACAUUUCAAAUUGUGUCUGGGUCUUGCUCACUGAUUUUUUGGUACAACAUUUUGGAGGCCCCAGCAAGAUUCGUGGCACACUGUGCCGUUGCAGAGACUCACCUGGGGAGGACUUCGGCCUCAGAAGGGAGGGAGGGAGGAAUGGCUGUGUUCUGACUUUUAGGGGAGCCGGCCCCUGAGACAUUCCAGGGCCCCAGAACUUAGGGCUGGGAAAAGCCUCCCUCCCCGACUCCGACUGUACCUCAUUUCGGCCCCGUGGAUUCUGGACCUGGUAACCCUCUGGAGUUCCUGCAGGGGCUCCAGGAAACACAGAGGACUCCCCUGAAAUCUGUCCGAGACGCUCUACCAGUCCCUACCUGUGACUAUACACGCUUUCAGCCCAGAAGACCCAGUCCUGGUCAAGAAGUACGCUGCCUCUGGCCUGGAACCUAAGUGGAAAGGUCCCUACACCGUGAUCCUGACCACUCCAACAGCCAUAAAGGUGGACUCUAUCCCUGUCUGGCUUCAUCAUUUACUAGUAAAGGCAGCUGCUUCAUCUACCAGUCCUGAGAAAUGGGAAACGAUACCAGGUCCAGAUGCCCUUAAGUUGUGUCUCUCCCAAUCAAACCCUUCCUAAUCUUUCCUUUUGCCCCUCUUUUAAUCCCUUGCAUUGGACACCCUAAUCCCCACGCUCCUUUACCAAAACCUAAGUGGGUCCUCAAAUCCAGGGGGGCUAACCACGAACACGCCCUCACUCUGCCUGACUGCCUACCUGGCCCCCACGGCCCUGGCGCCCUCUUCAGUGUUCCCAAACCACCGUGCUCUGGCAUCCCUUCCAAACCCUUUCUCUGCCCAGGGUCAAAUGUAUGUCAGCCUCCUUACUACUUUGACCCGGCAGCAUCUUUUACCCUCAUGGCCAACUCUACUGGGGGGGGGGAGAAAAAAGGGUGCUCCUCACUGUAUAUAAACAGGUCCCCGAGAGGUUCCCUUUGCCCACUGGUCCUCUAGGAGGAUUGGCCCUCCCACCUAAAAUUCUUCCCAAUCCUCCAACUCCCACUAGGAUCCCCUCUGAGUGGUUCAGCACCCCUCAGCCACCUAAAAUUCUUCUCAAUCCUCUGACUCCUACUAGGACCUCUCAGGCUGACCCCUCUCACCCCUCUAUUAUGGGACUGCUCCAAGCCAUCCAUGGUGUUGUCAACUCCACCUGGCCUGACCUACGGCCUAGUUGCUGGCUGUGUAUGGAUGCACAGCCUCCAUACUAUGUGGGAGUGGCAGUUAAUGGUUCUGUUUCCCAUUGCUCAGACUUGGAGAACUGCCGGUGGGAACAACCUAAGUUGACCCUGGGGGAUGUCCAAGGCAAAGAUAUCUGUCUUACCUCAUCCUCCUCAUCCCUGGAAACUUCUCCUUACUCUCCUGUCUGUAAUAGUACCGUGGUUGUUCCAGAAUCCUCCUCCUCUUUUUAUUCAGCGCCAUCCGGCGCUUGGUGGGCCUGUCUAGAUGGGAUUACACAGUGUGUCUCUGCUGUGGUGUUCCUAAAGGAAUCUGAGCCUCUACGUAUAUUAGUCUCCAUUAUCCCCCGGGUCUCCCUUCUCCAGGGCUGGGAGGGUUGGGAGUACUUCACUCAUGAGGGCAGUGAGGGCAGUGUGUCCUACUGAAGCAAGCGAGCUGUUCCCCUCCUCAUCCCUAUCCUCAUGGGGUUGGGGUUAGUGGUAUCAACCGCUGUAGGUACCGCUGUCCUAGUCCGAGGAAAGGCCAGUUACCAGGAACUCAGUGCUUAGGUCGACGUAGACCUCAGUCAUCUGGAGCACUCUAUCUCCCAACUGGAGAGACAGGUCAACUCUGUGGCCAAGAUGGUUCUGCAGAACCGGAGGGGUCUGGACUUACUGUUCCUCAGGCAAGGAGGCCUUUGUGCUGCCCUCGGGGAGGCCUGCUGUUUCUACGCCAAUAACUCAGGUGAAGUUCAGGAGAGCCUUUCCCUGAUACGGAAAAAUAUUGCAGACAGGCAGAGGUAACGAGAAAGGAGCAAAAACUGGUUACCAGAGCCUGUUUUGGACGUCCCCAUGUUUAACCACUCUUAUUUCUGCCUUGGCCGGGCCUCUGCUCCUCUUCACUAUAGCCCUAAUUUUUGGUCCUUGUCUAGUUAAUCGACUCCUUGACUUUGUUAGAUCCCAUAUUAAUUCAGUUAAGUUACUAUUGGUCAGAGAUCCCCGCUAUCAGCCGCUGGCACCAGCCUCCUUUGCACUCUACAGUGAUGCAGCCUCUGCCACAUCAAGGGUUUGACACGGUACACAAAAGAAGUGGGGAAUGAAGUACUGAACUCCAUGUACUGAACUCCAUUUUGUUUUCUGACCUCCAUCUUGUAUGCCCUCCUUCACGGAAGUUGGAGUUCCCGCCUUAGAAAACCUGCCAAGAAGGAUAUCCGUCCCAAUCUAUUUCAUGAUCCUUAUAUGGUCCCAAAGGCAGGAUUAACCAAUUGUUUGGCUUCUGUAACUUCCCACUUAUGCAACCCUUGACCGUUUACUCUGUGGCUUCUGCCUUUACAAACCCAAGCUCUACCCCUGAUCAGGGCUGCUCGAUCUGGUUGCGCACCCCUUGCAGCCGCGAGCUAAUAAAUCCACAUUUCAAAUUG